rnacentral:rRNA from 1 species
AUUGAACGCUGGCGGCAUGCCUUACACAUGCAAGUCGAACGGCAGCACGGGGCAACCUGGUGGCGAGUGGCGAACGGGUGAGUAAUGCAUCGGAACGUGCCAUUGAGUGGGGGAUAACGUAGCGAAAGUUGCGCUAAUACCGCAUAUUCUGUGAGCAGGAAAGCAGGGGACCGCAAGGCCUUGCGCUCUUUGAGCGGCCGAUGUCAGAUUAGCUAGUUGGUGAGGUAACGGCUUACCAAGACGACGAUCUGUAGCGGGUCUGAGAGGAUGAUCCGCCACACUGGAACUGAGACACGGUCCAGACUCCUACGGGAGGCAGCAGUGGGGAAUUUUGGACAAUGGGCGCAAGCCUGAUCCAGCCAUGCCGCGUGAGUGAAGAAGGCCUCGGGUU